ACGGCCCAGUACAUCACUGGGGCCAAGCUUCCUGCCAUCCAGGACUUCUAUACCAGACUGUUCUCUCUGCUACCGCACGGCAAGCGGUACCGGAGCGCCAAGUCUAGGUCCAAGAGGCUUCUAAACAGCUUCUACCCCCAAGCCAUUAGACUCCUGAACACCUAAUCAAAUGGCUACCCAACUAUUUGCAUUGCCUCUCCCCCUCUUUUACACCGCUGCUACUCUCUGUUGUUAUCAUCUAUGCAUUGUCACUUUAAUAACUCUACCUACAUGUACAUAUUACCUCAACUAACCGGUUCCCCUGCACAUUGACUCUGUACCGGUACCCCCCUGUAUAUAGUCUCGCUAUUGUUAUUUUAAUGCUGCUAUUUAAUUACUUGUUACUUUAUUUCUUAUUCUUAUCCGUUUUUUUUUUUUUUUUUACUGCAUUGUUGGUUAGGGGCUCUUAAGUAAGAAUUUCACUGUAAGGUCUACACCUGUUGUAUUUGGCGCAUGUGACUAAUAAAAUUUGAUUUGAUUUGACAUUCAAUAACUGCAGGUGGCAGUAAGUGGCAAUUUUGAAUCUGCACACGCUCUAUCACUGUCACAUGCUGUAACAAGAGCCUGGAUGGUGACACAUCUGCUUCAAGUUGCCUGACUGAAUACGUGGGCUGUCGUAGAAAUAUUCGUCCAAUAAUAUUUCUCAGAUACCGGAACUUGUGAAUUCAAGGCAUGCAUCUGGAUUACAAUGUGUGUCUAUGUAACGGUCUUCGUCGUCCUAGGAUGAAGGGGAAGAGAAAUCAGACCAAAAUGCAGCGUGGGAACUGUCUGCUGAUAGCUGACAACAUGGUGGCAGUUUUGCUAUAGUGCUCCAGACUUCCAUGGCCGAGGCUCCUCUGGUUUUGACCUUUUGCCUGUCCACGACCCUUCUCUUGCCUACCCUUUUGGAAUAUAAUACAUAUCAAACACUCUGAAUCUGGGUCUUGCCCUGAGCCCUUAAAAUUAGGCCAUAUAUUUUUGUUAUUGUGAAAGAUGCUGUUAAGUCUCAUAGCCUACCUCAGUCUGUUAUUAAGUUAUUUUAUAUAGGCCUAUGCUUGGAAAUAAAUAUACUACAACUAAACCCUCUUGUGAAGUC
rnacentral:lncRNA from 1 species